UCCAGACUCCUACGGGAGGCAGCAGUGAGGAAUAUUGGUCAAUGGGCGGGAGCCUGAACCAGCCAAGUCGCGUGAGGGAUGACGGUCCUACGGAUUGUAAACCUCUUUUGCCGGGGAGCAAGCGUGCGUUCGUGAACGCGCGUCGAGAGUACCCGAAGAAAAAGCAUCGGCUAACUCCGUGCCAGCAGCCGCGGUAAUACGGAGGAUGCGAGCGUUAUCCGGAUUUAUUGGGUUUAAAGGGUGCGCAGGCGGAUUUUUAAGUCAGCGGUCAAAUCGUGGGGCUCAACCCCAUCCAGCCGUUGAAACUGGGGAUCUAGAGUGUGCGAGAGGUAUGCGGAAUGCGUGGUGUAGCGGUGAAAUGCAUAGAUAUCACGCAGAACCCCGAUUGCGAAGGCAGCAUACCGGUGCACAACUGACGCUCAGGCACGAAAGCGUGGGUAUCGAACAGGAUUAGAUACCUGUAGC
rnacentral:rRNA from 1 species